CAAAUAUUAUUUAAAAACGUACCUGUUCUUCAGGUGUUGGACGCUGCCCAGACAGCGGAACCUGCCGUUCACCAUGAUGGCCAUUCUAGUGCACAGUGCUUCACAUUCCUCCAUACUGGAGAAAAAAACAGCACAGGAGUAUGAAAACAUUUGUUAUGUUUUACCUGUGUGAGGUGAGCACGACAGAGCGUCCCUCUUUGAUGACACUGUGAAUGCAGUUCCAUAACGCCCGCCGGGCUUUGGGGUCCAUGCCAGUGGUGGGCUCAUCCUGUAACCAAGAGCAAAAACAAGAUUCACAUUUAUCCACAGUUUCAGCAAAAACUACACACUAACAUCUCUCUGCCUAAGACGUGUGUCGCACACUCAAGUGAACCAAAACACACUUGCUGGCUCAACACAGGGAUUAAGCGUUUUGUGUUCUUUGUGUAAUUGACCCACUAUGAGGCCAUACAAAAGGCAAAGGGUAAGGAGUUCAGGCUAAUUCAGCUCCAGGGGUGUUAAAAUGCCGAACGUCUUAUAUAACCAGAAUAAGAAACCCAACUGAGUGAAUAAUCAAACAGCAAUCUUAUGAUCCACAUUCAUGUUGAUUUAUUUGCAGACAUUCACCCAGGGGGCACAACAUUUGAGCCAGGUGUAUAAUUGUGUGUGUGUGUGUGUGUGUGCGUGUGUUUGGAAAAAACACGUACCAGGAAAACCACCGGAGGAGCUCCUAUGAGAGAAAUGGCAGUGGAGAGUUUGCGCAUGUUGCCACCACUGUAGCUUCCUGCAUUUUUGUCCACAUACUUCACAAGGCCCAACUUUCGGAUUCCCCACUCAGCCACCUGUCCAAUAGGUGUAUGUGGAGUGUAGAGGAUUUUCCCCAUCAGAAGAGGUUUCAAGGCUCUCCAGAUCAUACGAG